ACGAACGCUGGCGGCGUGCUUAACACAUGCCAGUCGCACGGAAAGGCCCUGCUUUUGUGGGGUGCUCGAGUGGCGAACGGGUGAGUAACACGUGAGUAACCUGCCCCUGACUUUGGGAUAACUUCAGGAAACUGGGGCUAAUACCGGAUAGGAGCUCCUGCUGCAUGGUGGGGGUUGGAAAGUUUCGGCGGUUGGGGAUGGACUCGCGGCUUAUCAGCUUGUUGGUGGGGUAGUGGCUUACCAAGGCUUUGACGGGUAGCCGGCCUGAGAGGGUGACCGGCCACAUUGGGACUGAGAUACGGCCCAGACUCCUACGGGAGGCAGCAGUGGGGAAUAUUGCACAAUGGGCGGAAGCCUGAUGCAGCAACGCCGCGUGCGGGAUGACGGCCUUCGGGUUGUAAACCGCUUUCGCCUGUGACGAAGCGUGAGUGACGGUAAUGGGUAAAGAAGCACCGGCUAACUACGUG
rnacentral:rRNA from 1 species